rnacentral:rRNA from 1 species
UACGUAGGGGGCAAGCGUUGUUCGGAAUUACUGGGCGUAAAGGGCGCGUAGGCGGCACGGCAAGUCAGGAGUGAAAGCCCUGGGCUCAACCCGGGAACUGCUUUUGAAACUGCCGAGCUAGAGUGCGGAAGGGGCAACUGGAAUUCCCAGUGUAGCGGUGAAAUGCGUAGAUAUUGGGAAGAACACCUGAGGCGAAGGCGGGUUGCUGGGCCUGCACUGACACUGAGGGACGAAAGCUAGGGGAGCGAAAGGG